GGGCAGCAUGUAUAAGGUGAACAGUAGUGGGCUCAGGACAGAAACUUGCGAGACACCAUACCUCACUGUGGAGGAUUCAGAGGAUUUAUUGUUCGCAUUGUCACUUGGCCAUACUGGUGACGGAGACAAUCACUGCAGCUGAUAUUGAGAGGACCUGCUGCCUGCCAGGGAGUCCAAGGCUGAUAAUUCUUGGUGACGGCUCUAGUACACAGAAAUGGAUGAUUGGAAUUGAAGGCCAGGUGAUUCACCAAGGGGUGCAGCCAACCUUCAUGUCUGGAUUAGCAACACUCUUUGUGUGUUACUACAACUUCAACCUCCAAUACCAAGAUGCACUCUUGAAUACCUGCUUGCACUCUUGAAUUUAUACAAAGAAAUUUCUUCAAAAUCAGCCCAGAGAGAAGGUGAGAGGUAUAAGCAAAGGAAAAUGAAGAGCAAGAAGACGGGAAAGUUAGUCCAGAAGAAGUCUGUUGCCAUCAACCCACACGUUUGCUCACUAAUUAGAAAGCUCACUGAGUUUGAAUGGGACUUCAUAUAAGGGAUUCUGCCGAACUUGACCACCUGGAAUGAUGGAAUAUGAGGAAGUUUUUUUUUUUUUUUUUUUAAGACUUCAACCUGCUUCUGUUCCCUUCACAUACUAUUGCUCCUGUGAACUUUAUGGUAGUUUGUUUAUUCCUUAUUUCGACAAUUAGUUUUGCAUUUUUGAAAAUCACAAUUCAAAAGAUUUUAAAAUUACAUGAUGGUGAAACGGGGCGGCAUGGUGGUGCAGUGGUUAACACUGUCGCCACACACCUCUUGGACCUGGGUUCGAGUCUCCGCCUGGGUUACAUGUGUGUGGAGUUUGCAUGUUCUCCCCAUGUCGUCGUGGGGUUUCCGCCCACAGUCCAAAGACAUGCUGAGGCUAAUUGGAGUUGCUAAAUUGCCCUUAGGUGUGCAUGUGUAAGUGAAUGGUGUGUGAGUGUGCCCUACUAUGGGCUGGCCCCCCAUCCUAGGUUGUUCCCUGCCUCGUGCCCAUUGCUUCCGGGAUAGUCUCCGGACCCCCCCCGACCCAGUAGGAUAAGCGGUUUCGAAAAUGGAUGGAUGAUGGUGAAACAUUGGAAAUGUAAGAAUUGUUUAACAUUUUCCAUUAACAUCUUUAUAUAAAAGUAAUGUUUUUGUAAACUAAGUGAAAUAUGUUUUUUCUAAAAACUUACAGUAAAGACUUAUACAGAACGUAAUUAUGGUUUCAGUGUAUUUUCUGUGUGUGUAUCAAAAGCUUAAUUAUAGCGUAUAACAAGUCAUUUAAAUCACUCAUUGUCUACUAAGCUGGAAGGCACAAGAUAUACUGUAAAAUAAAUAUACAGUGGCCUAGUGUAAAAAGUACUGUACUGGCAUCUAUGCUGCCAGUAAUUUACUGUAAAAUAUAUGGCAAAAUUUUUUACAGUGUACAUAGUGGGUAGCUUUUGUUUAUAAUUUGUGAGCAGCAAUAAUAACUAUUUCAGUGCCAGUGAUAAUGCUUUGUGAGGAAAUAAUGGUAUUAAUAUUCUCACAAUAUUUGAUUAAUUAUUUGUCAGAAUUAUCAUUUAGGUAAUAAUUCCCUGAAGUUGCCAGAGUAAUCUGAUAAAUUAAAUACUACUGAUCUGUUUCUGAGAAAAUUCCAAGGGAUACUGCAAAGCAAUUUAUCCAACAUGAACUAUUGUUCAUUUUCAGUUACAAAAAAAUAUCAUAUUAUUAUGACAUAUCAUAACCAGGUGCAUCCUGCUUGCCUGUCCACUAGAGGGCAUACACAUGCACACAUAUGCUCUAUGGCCAGUAUAUGGUUGUCAGUUGGCCACUGUCUUUGGAUUGGUGGAAUUUUGUGGCUCACUACACAUUUCAGUUGGAAUUUUCCUUUUUUACAUGUACUGUAUGAGUAAGGACAAAUUUGCAGUUUUGAGCAUUUCAGGUCCAGAAAUUACAAAUCCAGACCAAGAUUUUGU